AGUGAACGCUGGCGGUAGGCCUAACACAUGCAAGUCGAACGGCAGCACAGUAAGAGCUUGCUCUUACGGGUGGCGAGUGGCGGACGGGUGAGGAAUACAUCGGAAUCUACUUUUUCGUGGGGGAUAACGUAGGGAAACUUACGCUAAUACCGCAUAUGACCUACGGGUGAAAGCAGGGGAUCUUCGGACCUUGCGCGAUUGAAUGAGCCGAUGUCGGAUUAGCUAGUUGGCGGGGUAAAGGCCCACCAAGGCGACGAUCCGUAGCUGGUCUGAGAGGAUGAUCAGCCACACUGGAACUGAGACACGGUCCAGACUCCUACGGGAGGCAGCAGUGGGGAAUAUUGGACAAUGGGCGCAAGCCUGAUCCAGCCAUGCCGCGUGAGUGAAGAAGGCCUUCGGGUUGUAAAGCCCUUUUGUUGGGAAAGAAAAGCAGCAGGUUAAUACCCCGCUGUUCUGACGGUACCCAAAGAAUAAGCACCGGCUAACUUCGUG
rnacentral:rRNA from 1 species